UACGGAGGGUGCAAGCGUUAUCCGGAUUCACUGGGUUUAAAGGGUGUGUAGGCGGGCUGUUAAGUCAGUGGUGAAAUCUCCGGGCUCAACCCGGAAACUGCCAUUGAUACUAAUGGUCUUGAAUUUUGUUGAGGUAGGCGGAAUAUGUCAUGUAGCGGUGAAAUGCUUAGAUAUGACAUAGAACACCGAUUGCGAAGGCAGCUUACUAAGCAAAUAUUGACGCUGAGGCACGAAAGCGUGGGGAUCAAACAGG
rnacentral:rRNA from 2 species